CUGGCGGCGUGCUUAACACAUGCAAGUCGAACGGAAAGGCCCUGCUUUUGUGGGGUGCUCGAGUGGCGAACGGGUGAGUAACACGUGAGUAACCUGCCCUUGACUUUGGGAUAACUUCAGGAAACUGGGGCUAAUACCGGAUAGGAGCUCCUGCUGCAUGGUGGGGGUUGGAAAGUUUCGGCGGUUGGGGAUGGACUCGCGGCUUAUCAGCUUGUUGGUGGGGUAGUGGCUUACCAAGGCUUUGACGGGUAGCCGGCCUGAGAGGGUGACCGGCCACAUUGGGACUGAGAUACGGCCCAGACUCCUACGGGAGGCAGCAGUGGGGAAUAUUGCACAAUGGGCGGAAGCCUGAUGCAGCAACGCCGCGUGCGGGAUGACGGCCUUCGGGUUGUAAACCGCUUUCGCCUGUGACGAAGCGUGAGUGACGGUAAUGGGUAAAGAAGCACCGGCUAACUACGUGCCAGCAGCCGCGGUGAUACGUAGGGUGCGAGCGUUGUCCGGAUUUAUUGGGCGUAAAGGGCUCGUAGGUGGUUGAUCGCGUCGGAAGUGUAAUCUUGGGGCUUAACCCUGAGCGUGCUUUCGAUACGGGUUGACUUGAGGAAGGUAGGGGAGAAUGGAAUUCCUGGUGGAGCGGUGGAAUGCGCAGAUAUCAGGAGGAACACCAGUGGCGAAGGCGGUUCUCUGGGCCUUUCCUGACGCUGAGGAGCGAAAGCGUGGGGAGCGAACAGGCUUAGAUACCCUGGUAGUCCACGCUGUAAACGGUGGGUACUAGGUGUGGGGUCCAUUCCACGGGUUCCGUGCCGUAGCUAACGCUUUAAGUACCCCGCCUGGGGAGUACGGCCGCAAGGCUAAAACUCAAAGGAAUUGACGGGGCCCCGCACAAGCGGCGGAGCAUGCGGAUUAAUUCGAUGCAACGCGUAGAACCUUACCUGGGUUUGACAUGGAUCGGGAGUGCUCAGAGAUGGGUGUGCCUCUUUUGGGGUCGGUUCACAGGUGGUGCAUGGCUGUCGUCAGCUCGUGUCGUGAGAUGUUGGGUUAAGUCCCGCAACGAGCGCAACCCUUGUUCACUGUUGCCAGCACGUUAUGGUGGGGACUCAGUGGAGACCGCCGGGGUCAACUCGGAGGAAGGUGGGGAUGACGUCAAGUCAUCAUGCCCCUUAUGUCCAGGGCUUCACGCAUGCUACAAUGGCUGGUACAGAGAGUGGCGAGCCUGUGAGGGUGAGCGAAUCUCGGAAAGCCGGUCUCAGUUCGGAUUGGGGUCUGCAACUCGACCUCAUGAAGUCGGAGUCGCUAGUAAUCGCAGAUCAGCAACGCUGCGGUGAAUACGUUCCCGGGGCUUGUACACACCGCCCGUCAAGUCAUGAAAGUUGGUAACACCCGAAGCCGGUGGCCUAACCGUUGUGGGGGAGCCGUCGAAGGUGGGACUGGUGAUU
rnacentral:rRNA from 1 species